ACGUCAGUAGUGCAACGGGUUAGAGCACGCCCCACCGGCUAUAAUGAGACACGGGUUAGAGUCCCGCGUGACGCA